rnacentral:tRNA from 4 species
GGCCACGUAGCCAAGUAGUAAGGCAUUCCUCUGCAAAAGGAAUAUACGCGAGUGCAAUUCUCGCCGUGGCCU